GGUUACAUAAUAUGGGAUGCACUGUUCCACCCCAAAACCUAGCAGACAGAAAAGUUCCCUUUGUGCUGAGGGAGCCCCUUCCGCUCCUUCAGCCAAUAGCCUUGAAGAUAGCAGCCCACUUAGGUGUGGUCUCUUUUGCUUUAAAAAGCAGCGAUAGCUCUGCUCUGGCUCUCUUGCUUCCAGCUUCUGCUUCCGGCUGCCAGAUUCUGUACCUGUUCAUUCAGAGGGUUGUUGUCUAGGACAGUGAUCUCCAUCGGCCACAUCAUCAGCCACACUGUCUGGAAGCACUGUCUGCGAAGGCCAGCUCUCCUAAUGAAGCUGCUUUUGGACCCAAAGCCUUGCUUUCCCACUUCAGGCUGGGGUGCAGGGGUCAAGUGUGCUGGUGAGCUGUUAUUCACUUGAUGCAAACUUCGCUGGAACAAGGAAGACGGAGACUCGGUUGACGAAUUGCCUUCAUCAGAUUGG